UCCAAAGAGGACGUCCGUGAUAUACUUGAUCUGCGGAUGUGCCAUUCUGAGCCGUCCAUUGAUUUAAAUGAAAACAAACGGCUCAGAUCGAGAUUUUCCAAAAACAAUCGCGGGUCAAAUAUAUAGCUCUGUGCUUCAACCCUGACUCAGAGGAGUCAAUGACAAAACCAGAGUUCUCGUCUCGACUGCUCCGACCAAAAUCCAGUUCUCCAACCCGACUCCCAGCGAUGCAACCAAAGUCUGGUUCUCCACCCAAAAUCCAGUUCUCCAACCCGACUCCCAGCGAUGCAACCAAAGUCUGGUUCUCCACCCAAAAUCCAGGUCUUCUCGUUAUUGAUACUAGAAACUCGUCUCAGGUUGCACGAUUGUUGCAACCCAAUCUUUCUUUUUUUCUUCCUCUCAUGAAAAUUGUAGUUCUCUUAUGGUCCCAUCCUCCCUUGAGGUUUUCGCGUCAAAAGUUGGAGACUUGGAAGCAAAGAAGCACAUCUAGACAUUGCUGGCAUAUGCCUCAUGUUUACUGGGAACUCGUUUUUUCUGUGGGCUAAAAGGAAAGGAAGGUUCCCUCGACUGUUUAUCAUAGUUAGACGAAUGUCGGAUGAAAUGAAGUAUCGGCACAUGAAUGUUGUAUAUGUAUCCAGCAGGGAUUCCAUGAUAAAAGGCUUUAGUUAAUGUUAAUUUUGAGUACUGGUCUUGUUCUGGUGGUUUGGUGAAUUGAAACUAUGUUUAUCUGUUUGGUCCCGAUCUUUAUAAUUCAAUUCCAUUCCCUUGUUGGUGUUUCUGGUUAAA